rnacentral:rRNA from 1 species
ACGCACGCUGGCGGCGUGCCUCAUACAUGCAAGUAGGACGCACAGUCUAUACCGUAGCUUGCUACACCAUAGGCUGUGAGUUGCGAACGGGUGAGUAACGCGUAGGUAACCUGCCUAUUAGAGGGGGAUAACUAUUGGAAACGAUAGCUAAUACCGCAUAACAGUAUGUAACACAUGUUAGAUGCUUGAAAGAUGCAAUUGCAUCGCUAGUAGAUGGACCUGCGUUGUAUUAGCUAGUAGGUAGGGUAAUGGCCUACCUAGGCGACGAUACAUAGCCGACCUGAGAGGGUGAUCGGCCACACUGGGACUGAGACACGGCCUAGACUCCUACGGGAGGCAGCAGUAGGGAAUCUUCGGCAAUGGGGGGAACCCUGACCGAGCAACGCCGCGUGAGUGAAGAAGGUUUUCGGAUCGUAAAGCUCUGUUGUUAAGGAAGAACGAGUGUGAGAAUGGAAAGUUCAUACUGUGACGGUACUUAACCAGAAAGGGACGGCUAACUACGUG